rnacentral:rRNA from 1 species
UACGAAGGGUGCAAGCGUUACUCGGAAUUACUGGGCGUAAAGCGCACGUAGGCGGGUUGUUAAGUCAGGGGUGAAAUCCUGGAGCUCAACUCCAGAACUGCCUUUGAUACUGGCAACCUAGAGACUGGAAGAGGUUAGUGGAAUUCCCAGUGUAGAGGUGAAAUUCGUAGAUAUUGGGAAGAACACCAGUGGCGAAGGCGGCUAACUGGUCCAGCACUGACGCUGAGGUGCGAAAGCGUGGGGAGCAAACAGG